AUAGCGAGAAGGUCACACCCGUUCCCAUACCGAACACGGAAGUUAAGCUUCUCAGCGCCGAUGGUAGUUGGGACUUUGUCCCUGUGAGAGUAGGAC
rnacentral:rRNA from 1 species